CAAUGUUCCAACAUCUAGUGGAAAGCCUUCCCAGAAGAGUGGAGGCUGUUAUAGCAGCAAUGUUCCAACAUCUAGUGGAAAGCCUUCCCAGAAGAGUGGAGGCUGUUAUAGCAGCAAUGUUCCAACAUCUAGUGGAAAGCCUUCCCAGAAGAGCGGAGGCUGUUAUAGCAGCAAUGUUCCUACAUCUAGUGGAAAGCCUUCCCAGAAGAGUGGAGGCUGUUAUAGCAGCAAUGUUCCUACAUCUAGUGGAAAGCCUUCCCAGAAGAGUGGAGGCUGUUAUAGCAGCAAUGUUCCAACAUCUAGUGGAAAGCCUUCCCAGAAGAGUGGAGGCUGUUAUAGCAGCAAUGUUCCUACAUCUAGUGGAAAGCCUUCCCAGAAGAGUGGAGGCUGUUAUAGCAGCAAUGUUCCUACAUCUAGUGGAAAGCCUUCCCAGAAGAGUGGAGGCUGUUAUAGCAGCAAAGGGGGGCGACCAACUCCAUAUUAAUGACCAUGAUUUUGGAAUGAGAUGUUGGAUACGUAUAUAUAUAUAUUCUCAUAUUCACUGCUUUUUAUUUAUGAUUAUCCCAGUGGGUGUGUGUCUGUGAUUGGUUGUCGUUCCAGGUGGGUGUGUUGGUGAUUGGUUGUCGUUCAAGGUGGGUGUGUCUGUGAUUGGUUGUCGUUCAAGGUGUGUGUUGGUGAUUGGUUGUCGUUCAAGGUGGGUGUGUUGGUGAUUGGUUGUCGUUCAAGGUGUGUGUCUGUGAUUGGUUGUCGUUCAAUGUGGGUGUGUUGGUGAUUGGUUGUCGUUCAAUGUGUGUGUCUGUGAUUGGUUGUCGUUCAAUGUGUGUGUCUGUGAUUGGUUGUCGUUCAAUGUGUGUGUCUGUGAUUGGUUGUCGUUCAAUGUGUGUGUCUGUGAUUGGUUCUGUGUUUUCUCCAGCGUCUGUUCCCUCAGUGAGUGUGUCAGGGUCAGGGACCGAGCACAGUGACAGCAACGGUCAUGGAGCCCCCAACCUUGACCCCAGCUCUAACCCCAGCACAGCACUGCUGCCCCCUGCUGACGAGAGGCUGUUUGAAGAGGUGAUAGUUCUCCCUGCAGACUCCAGACUUCCUCCUCCUGGUGAUGAAGAGGAGGAAGAAGAGCAGCUUGUCAUUGCGUUCCAGGAGAACGGUAUCGUCAUGCCUCUGAUUGGAGGAGUGGUCGACACCCCGAUACAACACACAGCAGAUGUUGUCUGAUGACUGGAAAAGACAUGGUGGAGGGGGAGAUGGUGGAGGACACAUGGUGGAGGACACGUGGUGGAGGACACAUGGUGGAGGACACAUGGUGGAGGACACGUGGUGGAGGACACAUGGUGGAGGACACAUGGUGGAGGACACAUGGUGGAGG
ensembl:lncRNA